AAAGAAACUAACAAGGAUUCCCCUAGUAACGGCGAGUGAAGCGGGAAGAGCUCAAAUUUGAAAUCUGGCAGUCUUCGAUUGUCCGAGUUGUAAUCUAUAGAGGCGUUUUCCGUGCCGGACCGUGUCCAAGUCUCCUGGAAAGGAGUAUCAAAGAGGGUGAUAAUCCCGUACUUAACACGACCACCGGUGCUCUGUGAUACGUCUUCUACGAGUCGAGUUGUUUGGGAAUGCAGCUCAAAAUGGGUGGUGAAUUCCAUCUAAAGCUAAAUAUUGGCGAGAGACCGAUAGCGAACAAGUACCGUGAGGGAAAGAUGAAAAGCACUUUGGAAAGAGAGUUAAACAGUACGUGAAAUUGUUGAAAGGGAAACGAUUGAAGUCAGUCGUGUUCUUUGGAUUCAGCCAGUUCUGCUGGUCUACUUCCUUGGAACGGGUCAACAUCAGUUUUGUCCGGUGGAUAAAGGUAGUAGGAAUGUGACUUCUCCGGAAGUGUUAUAGCCUAUUAUCACAUACACUGGGUGAGACUGAGGACUGCAGCUCGCCUUUAUGGCCGGCCUUCGGGCACGUUCGAGCUUAGGAUGUUGACAUAAUGGC
rnacentral:rRNA from 1 species